UAAAGGAUAAAAUAUAUAAGAUAAAAAUAUGCUUAUUCACUUUCUUGCAGAGUGUUAAAUUAGAUUGAUACCCCUCAUGUCUGUAUGGCGGGAAAUGAAAAUAUAGACUUGAAAAGACAAAACCCGGGGCGCUGGGACCAGCCGGUUAGAGAGCCCUUCUUAAGCAACGCUGCAUGUAGAAAGUCAUGCUCAAAUUUGCGCUGCUGAAGCCUCCUUUUAUGAAGAAAAUUCCAGCAGUUUUCAAGAACUUUCAAGGAGCAGGGCUAAGCUGCAUCAAACAAAAGAAGAGGACAGA